rnacentral:rRNA from 1 species
CUACGGGUCGCUGCAAUGGGGAAUAUUGCACAAUGGAGGAAACUCUGAUGCAGCAACGCCGCGUGGAGGAUGACACUUUUCGGAGCGUAAACUCCUUUUAUAUAGGAAGAAGAUGACGGUACUAUAUGAAUAAGCGCCGGCUAACUCCGUGCCAGCAGCCGCGGUAAUACGGAGGGCGCAAGCGUUACUCGGAAUCACUGGGCGUAAAGAGCCUGUAGGCGGAUUAAAAAGUCAGAAGUGAAAUCCUAUAGCUUAACUAUAGAACUGCUUCUGAAACUCUUAAUCUAGAAUAUGGGAGAGGUAGAUGGAAUUUCUGGUGUAGGGGUAAAAUCCGUAGAGAUCAGAAGGAAUACCGAUUGCGAAGGCGAUCUACUAGAACAUUAUUGACGCUGAGACGCGAAAGCGUGGGGAGCAAACAGGAUUAGAUACCCCUGUAGUC